UAGGGAAUCUUCCACAAUGGACGCAAGUCUGAUGGAGCAACGCCGCGUGAGUGAAGAAGGUUUUCGGACCGUAAAGCUCUGUUGUUGGUGAAGAAGGAUAGAGGUAGUAACUGGCCUUUAUUUGACGGUAAUCAACCAGAAAGUCACGGCUAACUACGUGCCAGCAGCCGCGGUAAUACAUAGGUGGCAAGCGUUGUCCGGAUUUAUUGGGCGUAAAGCGAGCGCAGGCGGAAGAAUAAGUCUGAUGUGAAAGCCCUCGGCUUAACCGAGGAAUUGCAUCGGAAACUGUUUUCUUGAGUGCAGAAGAGGAGAGUAGAACUCCAUGUGUAGCGGUGGAAUGCGUAGAUAUAUGGAAGAAUACCAGUGGCGAAGGCGGCUCUCUGGUCUGCAACUGACGCUGAGGCUCGAAAGCAUGGGUAGCGAACAGGAUUAGAUACCCUGGUAGUCCAUGCCGUAAACGAUGAGUGCUAAGUGUUGGGAGGCUUCCGCCUCUCAGUGCUGCAGCUAACGCAUUAAGCACUCCGCCUGGGGGAGUACGACCGCAAGGUUGAAAC
rnacentral:rRNA from 1 species